UGACGACAUAAACCGGCGCGGUGUUUAGACUUUACUGAUGUCGUGGCGCUCUGAGGCAAAAAGUUGUUUCUCUGAGGAGCCUUAGGACUGAAGCCGAGGUGAUGGAGCACCUCCUGGCGGCUAUGGGAACUAUGGUUAUGCCAAUAGUGGAUAUAAUGCUUGUGAAGAAGAGAAUGACAGACUCACUGAAAGUCUCAGAAGCAAAGUAACAGCUAUAAAAUCUCUUUCCAUUGAGAUAGGCCAUGAAGUCAAAAAUCAAAAUAAACUGUUAGCUGAAAUGGAUUCACAAUUUGAUUCUACAACUGGAUUUCUAGGUAAAACCAUGGGAAGACUGAAGAUUUUGUCCAGAGGGAGCCAAACGAAAUUGCUAUGCUAUAUGAUGCUGUUUUCAUUGUUUGUCUUUUUUGUCAUUUAUUGGAUUAUUAAACUGAGGUGAUGCAAGUUAGUGUGGGCUUUGAAUUUAUUGCAGUUAAUGUCUUGGGGAACCACUUUGAUAACCAGCAUCUCAACAUUCCUAAUGGUCUUCUCCAUUGAAGAUUAGUAGAAUUUUCCUCUUUCAGAAAUCAUACUAUACCAUGUAAUGUUUUGAAUACUGCUCCUUACUGACUGACUCAUUAUGACUCCUAUUUUAAGGGGUAUUUAAUUUUCUUGAAGUCAGUGUGGCUAUACCUAUGUUGUUCCAGUGUUUUCCAGUCAGAGUAAAUAUGACUACCAUACCCUGCUGUUACAUAAAUGUAACUUUUUAAAGCAAGUGGGAGAGCAGAAGAAUGCCAGAGAACUUGGAAUCAGCCUUUGAGGAGUGUUGCAUGCUGGUAGAAAGCUCACUUCUGUUUGUUUGAUGUCAUCUUGUAAUGAAUGGCUCCUUUGCUUAGUACCAUGUAGGGCCGUUUCUUUCCUCCUACAGUUUUCUUAAGUUAAUCACAUGGAUUCUUUGUACUAGGACUUCCUUGAGUAAAGCUAUUGACAUAUUUCUGCUGGAGCCUAAUACACAUGUGUAUUAACAUAGGCAUUGUUUUAUAUUAAUGAUAAAUUCUACUGGCUUGCUUUAUGAUAGUUUCUGAUUUCUAGCUGCUUAUGUGGUCCAUUUGAUUAUUAUUUGUGUCAGAAUAAUGUGACAUUUAUGAUUGCUAAGCUCUGAGCAGAAAAGGAGUGCCCAAGAAAAUUAAUUGCCUUUGUUUUACUGUAUGCUCAAAUAAGUAUUGAAAAUAUUCAGGCUUUGAACCCAGAGUUCAUAGGAUUGUUAUUUAGCUCCAUUUUAUUUACUUACAGAAAUCAAAACACAAGGUGGUUUUAAGUAAAAAAGCAAAAAGUACUAAAAUAUUGUAAAACAUUCUGUGUUGCUCUUACUUUAGAAAUUUGCCUAUUUCUAGGUUCAAAAAUAAACUUUACUAAAAUA
rnacentral:lncRNA from 1 species